GGCCGAAUCUUGUAAUCCCUCCAG
rnacentral:siRNA from 1 species